GGUAUUGUGGCUCAGUGGUACAGUGCUUGCCUAGCAUGCAUGAAGCCCUGGGUUUGAUUCCUCAGUGCCA
rnacentral:tRNA from 1 species